rnacentral:misc_RNA from 1 species
GAUGAAGAACGUAGCGAAAUGCGAUAAGUAAUGUGAAUUGCAGAAUUCAGUGAAUCAUCGAAUCUUUGAACGCACCUUGUGCCCUUUGGCUAUUCCGAAGGGCAUGCCUGUUUGAGUAUCAUGAACACCUCAACUCUCAUGGCUUGCCGUGAUGAGCUUGGACUUUGGGGGUCUUGCUGGCCUGUGGUUGGCUCCUCUCAAAUGAAUCAGCUUACCGGUGUUUGGUGGCAUCACAGGUGUGAUAACUAUCUACGCUUGUGGUUUUCCACCAGGUUAACCUUCAGCGAUGGAGGUUCGCUGGAGCUCAUAAAUGUCUCUUCUAGGUGAGGACAGCUCUUUGAACGUUUGAUCUCAAAUCAGGUAGGACUACCCGCUGAACUUAAGCAUAUCAAUAAGCGGAGGA